GCGACCAUACCGCUUUGGAAACACCGGUUCUCGUCUGAUCACCGAAGUUACCCAACGUCAGUUUGGUUAGUACUUGCAUGGGUGAUCGGCUGUGAAUACCGGGUGUUGCGGAAGUUC
rnacentral:rRNA from 1 species